GUUCAUUGAUAGAGAAACCUUUACGUGGUAAUGAACACAAGUAAUCCGGAAGGAUGAAACUAAUAUCUCU
rnacentral:ribozyme from 1 species